GCCCGGGAAAGAAAUGCCAGGAACACUGAUGAGUCCCAGAGCUGAGCGCAGUCUGAGCAUUCGGAACAGAAUACUUUUGUACCUUCCAGCCUGGGACAACCUACUCCCCAUGGUCCUGAGGCAGGAGUUUUUCACCUGGCCCCUUUGGCAGUCUGGCCCACUGGGUGGCAGCUGGCACCAUGGCAAGCACCGACUGCCGUGGAGUCUGGACAGACCUCAAGGAGACUCCUAGCAAGAAACCACUUAAUCCCAUUUUAUGG